AAUCAGGUGGGACUACCCGCUGAACUUAAGCAUAUCAAUAAGCGGAGGAAAAGAAAAUAACUAUGAUUCCCUUAGUAACGGCGAGUGAACAGGGAAAAGCCCAAAUUUGUAAUCUG
rnacentral:rRNA from 1 species